GACGAACGCUGGCGGCGUGCUUAACACAUGCAAGUCGAACGGAGUGGCGAACGGGCGAGUAACACGUGGCUGACCUGCCCUCCACUUCGGGAUAAUCCCGGGAAACUGGGUCUAAUACUGGAUCGUGUGGGAUGGGCCCGCGGCCUAUCAGCUUGUUGGUGGGGUAAUGGCCUACCAAGGCUGCGACGGGUAGCCGGCCUGAGAGGGUGGACGGCCACAAUGGGACGACGACAGGGACCAGAGUCGUACUGGAGGCAGCGGUGGGGAGUAUUGCGCAGUGGGGGGGAGCCUGAUGCAGCGACUCUGGGUGGGGGAUGACGGCUUAGGGGUUGUGAACUCCUUUAGCCAAAGAAGCGGUAGAUGGAGAAGAAGCACCGGCUAACUACGUGACAGCCGCCGCGGGAAUAC
rnacentral:rRNA from 1 species